rnacentral:rRNA from 1 species
UACGUAGGCAGCAAGCGUUGUUCGGAAUUACUGGGCGUAAAGAGUGUGUAGGCGGUGCUCUAAGUUUGUUGUGAAAUCUCCCGGCUUAACCGGGAGGGUGCGGCGAAUACUGAGAUGCUGGAGUACGGGAGAGGUAAGCGGAAUUCCUGGUGUAGCGGUGAAAUGCGUAGAUAUCAGGAGGAACACCUGCGGUGUAGACGGCUUACUGGACCGUAACUGACGCUGAGGCACGAAAGCGUGGGUAGCAAACAGG